rnacentral:rRNA from 1 species
UACGUAGGGGCAGCAGUCGUUCGAUCGAAUUGUGGCGUAAAGAGCGCGUAGGCGGUCCGAUAAGUCGGCUGUGAAAGUCAGGGGCUCAACCCUUGAAAGCCGGCCGAUACUGUCGGACUAGAGUCCGGAAGAGGCAAGUGGAAUUCCCGGUGUAGCGGUGAAAUGCGCAGAUAUCGGGAGGAACACCAAUGGCGAAGGCAGCUUGCUGGGACGGUACUGACGCUGAGACGCGAAAGCGUGGGGAGCAAACAGG